AGGGCAAAUCGAUUUCCAAGAGACAACCCUGACAGCUCCGCCUGGUCCUUUCCCCAAACUGUAGGUCCACACGACCUACUACACCACACGGAAAUCCUGGAGCACGGCCAACCGUCGAUCAGGACGGAGUAACCUCUGCUGCUCAAGGUCCGGUUCUUCUUGGACGCCACACGACAGGAGGUUGUGCAUAUUGGAGCAGUAUGCCAUCCCAAUCGCUUGGUAUGUUGUUUCCACCGACCACAAGUGAGGCAAAGUCCUCCUAUUAUCUCUACAUUGGCCACGAUUUCUGUGAUUGAAAUACAGGGUAUUGAUUGAAUUGGUAGUAUUUGCAUGGUCCAGAAACUGACUAUUGGACCAUGUCUUUCUUAAUCGAGGCAAUUGGCCAUUUUUGCUUAUUUAACAAUUUGAAUAUUUCAUCUUGCUCUCUGAAUUCCUUCAGUAUGCCAUUCUUUUCUUUCAAUGUCUUCUAAUUGUUGACAAAUUCUUGGCCAAUACAUUUCAAAAUUAGUAGGUCAAGCGGUAGUAUAUUCUUUACAGAGAACCUUGGUUCAUUUCCUUGGUCCAGUCGUGUUGUGCUUGCUUAGCUAAUCACAGUUCCUCGCUAGGCCAUAUAAUUUGCAUGCAGGGCAUUUGCACCUGCACAAUGUUCAGGCUUUAGAGAAUAUGUAUGUAGGUCUUCGAGAUCUGUUUUUGUUUAGUUCUCAAUUGAUAAGAUUUAUUGAGGUACUACAUCAUUUUCAAGUAAGGAUGAUGAAGUGGCACAUCAAUACAUAUUAAGUCCAUCCAGCAUCUGAAAACUAAACAGUUUGCGUAUUCACCUAUUCUACUUCGUGUGGAUAAAUGGGCUAACAACUCUUUUCUUUCAAGCCUGUAGUUAAAAAAAAAUGAUUAUUUGUUCAAAAGAAAAAUGACAUAAUUACUUUGGUCUGGCAAUUAGUAAGUGAACUACUGGUUUAGUACUUUUUGCACAAUAACUGAAGGAGAUUAUUAAUGAUACACAUCACUAUUCUUUUAGCAUACUGUACCAUUGGAAGGGUCAAUCAAAUUACAUCACGUAUCUUAUAUGCUAUGUGAUGAUGUAAGAAUAGUGUGGAAAAUUUCAUGUUUAUGGCCAUUGCUUUAGCAAAUAAAGGUGCGAAAUACAUAGAUUCUCUGAAAAAAUGCAUGUAUUCUGAAAUAGCUGAAAUCAGCUGCUGGCAUAAAUGUACUAUGUCUCAUCUCUUGAAGAACCAUGAAUGAUUAUUCUCACCUCCUACCGAAGAUCCAUAUGCACUGACAUUGUCUUUCUGCAAUCAAUUGGCAAUUGUGCCAUUGUUACUUAUUGGCCAGAAUAUGCAAAGACCUUUCAUGCGGUUGCUCUUCAUUAAUCCUCCUAUGAUGACAGCACUGUAAUACUGUUUGCAGGCAUGAGUGUUGCCCAGUUGUCAGGAGUGUCUGGUUUUGAUUACGCUGUUGCCCGGUUGGUAUUUGUCGCCUGCUGUUGCCUGAAGUUCUUCAACACAGUUUGAUAGUGCUAACAUUCUAUCAGGACUUCCCCGGUGGCGACGAGGAAGAGGUACAAGUUCAAGAGGAUGGCUGAAUAUAUAACUGAGAGGACGCAUUGUUGCCUAUUCAAUUUUUUGUCUUUGGGUGUAUUGGCGAUGAUGACAGUGUUGUGUUCAAUAAGUCAAGAAAGAGUUUGAUAGCAGAGUAGGUGUUUUUUUUUUUGCUGUGUACGAGUUAUGUGCGUUUUACAUGAGACUGGUUAGUGGCAUAUUCAUUGGAACAAGUAUAUAUGAA